rnacentral:rRNA from 1 species
CAGUAGCCGCGGUAAUGCGUAGGGUGCAAGCGUUAAUCGGAAUUACUGGGCGUAAAGCGUGCGCAGGCGGUUUGUUAAGACAGAUGUGAAAUCCCCGGGCUCAACCUGGGAACUGCAUUUGUGACUGGCAAGCUAGAGUGUGGCAGAGGGGGGUGGAAUUCCGCGUGUAGCAGUGAAAUGCGUAGAUAUGCGGAGGAACACCGAUGGCGAAGGCAGCCCCCUGGGCCAACACUGACGCUCAUGCACGAAAGCGUGGGGAGCAAACAGGAUUAGAUACCCCAGUAGUCCCUGUCUCUUAUAC